GAUGAACGCUGGCGGCGUGCCUAAUACAUGCAAGUCGAGCGAACAGACGAGGAGCUUGCUCCUCUGACGUUAGCGGCGGACGGGUGAGUAACACGUGGAUAACCUACCUAUAAGACUGGGAUAACUUCGGGAAACCGGAGCUAAUACCGGAUAAUAUAUUGAACCGCAUGGUUCAAUAGUUAAAGACGGUUUUGCUGUCACUUAUAGAUGGAUCCGCGCCGCAUUAGCUAGUUGGUAAGGUAACGGCUUACCAAGGCAACGAUGCGUAGCCGACCUGGGAGGGUGAUCGGCCACACGGGAGCUGAGACAGGGUCCAGACUCCUACGGGAGGCAGCAGUAGGGAAUCUUCCGCAAUGGGCGAAAGCCUGACGGAGCAACGCCGCGUGAGUGAUGAAGGUCUUCGGAUCGUAAAACUCUGUUAUUAGGGAAGAACAAAUGUGUAAGUAACUAUGCACGUCUUGACGGUACCUAAUCAGAAAGCCACGGCUAACUACGUG
rnacentral:rRNA from 1 species